GACGAACGCUGGCGGCGUGCCUAACACAUGCAAGUCGAACGAAGUGGCGAACGGGUGAGUAAUACGUGGGUAACCUGCCCUCGUUUUUGGGAUAAGCCUUGGAAACGCGGUCUAAUACCGAAUAAAGGGGGAUGGGCUCGCGGCCUAUCAGCUGGUUGGUGGGGUAAUGGCCUACCAAGGCGGUGACGGGUUGACGGCCUGUGACGGUGACCGGGCACAGUGGGACUGGGAUACGGCCCAGAGUCCUACGGGGGGCGGCAGUGGGGGAUAUGGCACAAUGGGCGAAAGCCUGAUGCAGCGUCGACGCGGGGGGGCUGAAGGCUUUCGAGUUGUAAACCUCUGUCGUUAUCGAACGGGUAGCUGGAGAAGAAGCGCCGGCUAACUACGUGCCAGCCGCCGCGGUAAUUC
rnacentral:rRNA from 1 species